CUACCUACGGGGGGCAGCAGUGAGGAAUAUUGGUCAAUGGGCGGAAGCCUGAACCAGCCAAGUCGCGUGAGGGAUUAAGGCCCUGCGGGUCGUAAACCUCUUUUGCCGGGGAGCAGAGGUCCGGACGUGUCCGGGCCGGGAGAGUACCCGGAGAAAAAGCAUCGGCUAACUACGUGCCAGCAGCCGCGGUAAUACGUAGGGGGCAAGUGUUAUCCGGAUUUACUGGGUGUAAAGGGAGCGUAGGUGGCAUGGUAAGCCAGAAGUGAAAACCCAGGGCUCAACUCUGUGGAUUGCUUUUGGAACUA
rnacentral:rRNA from 1 species